CCUACGGGAGGCAGCAGUGGGGAAUAUUGGACAAUGGGCGAAAGCCUGAUCCAGCAAUGCCGCGUGAGUGAUGAAGGCCUUAGGGUUGUAAAGCUCUUUUACCAGGGAUGAUAAUGACAGUACCUGGAGAAUAAGCUCCGGCUAACUCCGUGCCAGCAGCCGCGGUAAUACGGAGGGAGCUAGCGUUGUUCGGAAUUACUGGGCGUAAAGCGUACGUAGGCGGUUAUUCAAGUCAGAGGUGAAAGCCUGGAGCUCAACUCCAGAACUGCCUUUGAAACUAGAUAGCUAGAAUCACGGAGAGGUUAGUGGAAUUCCGAGUGUAGAGGUGAAAUUCGUAGAUAUUCGGAAGAACACCAGUGGCGAAGGCGACUAACUGGACGUGUAUUGACGCUGAGGUACGAAAGCGUGGGGAGCAAACAGGAUUAGAUACCCUGGUAGUCCACGCCGUAAACGAUGAUAACUAGCUGUUCGGUCUCUACGAGACUGAGUGGCGCAGCUAACGCAUUAAGUUAUCCGCCUGGGGAGUACGGUCGCAAGAUUAAAACUCAAAAGAUAGUAGACGUGNGAGAGCGACGACGACGACGACGGAGGAGGAG
rnacentral:rRNA from 1 species